CGGAGUGCUUGCACUCUGUGAAACAAGAUACAGGCUAGCGGCGGACGGGUGAGUAACACGUGGGUAACCUGCCCAAGAGAUCGGGAUAACACCUGGAAACAGAUGCUAAUACCGGAUAACAACAGAUGAUGCCUAUCAACUGUUUAAAAGAUGGUUCUGCUAUCACUCUUGGAUGGACCUGCGGUGCAUUAGCUAGUUGGUAGGGUAACGGCCUACCAAGGCGAUGAUGCAUAGCCGAGUUGAGAGACUGAUCGGCCACAUUGGGACUGAGACACGGCCCAAACUCCUACGGGAGGCAGCAGUAGGGAAUCUUCCACAAUGGACGCAAGUCUGAUGGAGCAACGCCGCGUGAGUGAAGAAGGGUUUCGGCUCGUAAAGCUCUGUUGUUGGUGAAGAAGGACAGGGGUAGUAACUGACCUUUGUUUGACGGUAAUCAAUUAGAAAGUCACGGCUAACUACGUGCCAGCAGCCGCGGUAAUACGUAGGUGGCAAGCGUUGUCCGGAUUUAUUGGGCGUAAAGCGAGUGCAGGCGGCUCGAUAAGUCUGAUGUGAAAGCCUUCGGCUCAACCGGAGAAUUGCAUCAGAAACUGUCGAGCUUGAGUACAGAAGAGGAGAGUGGAACUCCAUGUGUAGCGGUGAAAUGCGUAGAUAUAUGGAAGAACACCGGUGGCGAAGGCGGCUCUCUGGUCUGUUACUGACGCUGAGGCUCGAAAGCAUGGGUAGCGA
rnacentral:rRNA from 1 species